UUUGCCGGGCUCUCUCUUGUUUGAAGUUAUUGAUGAAUUUUGUGCCAGAUUCUUUUUGACUAUUGAGUAAAAAGGUAAUGCCCCUUCUUUGGAAAAUAUGAUAUACAGGCUUCAUGCAUCAUUGUACAACAUGCAUCUGUGGUUUGUUUUUGGAGGGUAUCUUUCUUUCCUCCUUCUUUAGCUUAUUCUUCUUCUAAGCAAAAGAAGGAAAGAUCAUAAAUUUUAGUUGGUUUGCUGAACCCUUGGAAACUUUUUAAUCUUUGUCCAUGUUAGCUCCUUACCACGUAUGAUAAACUUGCGAUAAUUAUAUAGAGAGCAGGAGUUAAGGCUAAAUCUCUCACUCUUAUGCCAUCUUAUUUGUGUUCUUGUAGUGGGUGCUGUUUUUUUCUCUUUAAUAGUAAGCUAGUGGACAGAGAAUGGUUUCUUUAGGUAUUUAUUGCGAGUUAGCUAUUUGAGGUUCACAAUUAAAGUUUGUGAUGCAACAAUGAAAAUUUGUUCUCCAUAUAUGAUACCGCAUUUUACCAAACAUGAAGAAUUUUUCAAUCGCGGACAAUGCUUUCUGGAAAAUUCAUAAACUGCGUUGAAAUAGUUUUCUACAUUCUGUCAUUUCAUAUUUCUUUUGCAAUGCUUAUAUAUUUUGUUGAUUCUGGAUCUGGAAAUCAUGCAGUGUCAGUUUGUCUUGAAACUUUUUAGCUUGUUCAAUUAAAAAGAAAUAGUGGUGUUUUUUUAGCUAAAUCAUGCACAGAUGAUGUUCAAAUAGGGAUGGCGGUGUAUUCACUAUUCAGGACACUGAUAAGUUGUUCUUGUAGGUGUUCUUUUCCCGUGUGAUUUUUAUUAUACAGCUUGAUGGUUCAGAUCAUGCUACACAUGACAUCUAAAAUGCCUGUCGUUGUCUUUCCGGAUAGCAAUUAUCUUUAAGUUGUGCAGGAGUGCUCAAUCUGCAAUACUGCAUCGAUUAAAUGGAUAUGAAUUAAGAGCAUCAAGCUAAGGGCUUGCUGUCUUUUCUCCUCUGAAGAAACUCAAGAUCGUUGCAGAUUUUGGGCUAGAAUAGCAAUGGCUAUAUGUCCUAUGUGAACUAUGUAUGCUUGGAGGAGUCUUGAACAGUUACUGCAGGUGAGCUCCUAAACCCUUUUGUAAGAUUCCUACGACCCGUAACGUAAGGGACUGGUUAUGCCACCAUAAAAUCUUGAAGGCUUCCAAAUGCUAAAUUCCAAUUAUGACAUGUUUAUUUAUAAAAUCUCCUUUAGCAAAUUCUUUACCACAAUUUCUUAUGGCAAGUUAAAAGGCUUUGCAACUUAGGGUGUGAACUUGAUGUAGAAAUUAGAGUCUUAAGGUACAUAAUUAUGUUCUUCACUGUUCUGUUUAUGCUUCUCUUCUUGAAACUAACUGGUCAAUCCAUGGUCAAAGCGUGGCUUCUCUUUUAUCUAUCUUAUCUCCUAUGGCUAUUCAAGUCUUAAGGGAGUCACGGUAUUUUUGAAGAAAAACACGUCUCUCGCUGACAUGACGGAUCAGUAUUCAACAUUCUACUGGCUUGUAUCAUUUUUUCUUUUGAAGAUACUCUUUUAAUGUUAUUUGAUCAUCUAAUUCUUUUUCAUUAAUUGUUUGUUUGUUUCAUGAGUGGUUGCUGAGUGCACAACCUUAUAAUUUCUGUUCUUGUUACUCCGCCUUCAAAGUUCAACAAUGAAGCAAUAUUGCUUUGAAGGUCAAAGAAGGUUCUAGAUUUCUUUCGAAAAGAUGGGGAGUACUACUCGAACACUUUAUGCUCUACAUCUUCCCUAACUUUGGAUCUGCCUUUUAUUCUGGUUCCUGUUCUCCAUCUCUAUCUUAGAGGUCCAAGAUCUAUCAUGGGAUUAUGGUUUGAAAUUUGGAUUGCCUUGAGAAACGUGUGAUGGCUUUGGACUUUGGAGUUGUUGCUGGAUCAUUAUGAAAACUCAGGAAGCUAAUUCCUGUAUGACCCAAUGCGGCAGGAUGUGCUUUUUAAGUAACCAACAUGCUAAUGCUAAGGUCCUCUCUGUUCAUCAUGAUAGCAGCUGUUGCUUAAUAAAGAGCAAAGAGUUAAUUAUUAACAAUACAUGAAAAGAGUCGUGCGAGCUUAGUUAAUGGCAGUUAAUUCGAAUCGUUUCCUUGGGUUUUCGGUGUAGAACGGCUUCAAUGGAUAUAUUUCCGAACAAGGGAAGUAGCCAUGAGGAACAAGAUAAUGGGCCUACUCAGAAAGCCACACUGAACCAUUAGAGACAUGCAAAAGCACCCAAUCUCUUCCACUUGGACUUAACCGUGGUUCAACAUUAUAGAAGUGGCUGUACCAUAAUGUACAAGUAUCGAGUCUGAACUGCAUCUUCAGGGUAUUGUUCAAUUUGUUGAAAUAUGCCAAGGGAUUAAAUGAAUAAACUCCCCUUUGCUG